rnacentral:tRNA from 1 species
AAUUAAUUAGUAUAAAUAGUACGUUUAACUUCCAAUUAAAAAGUUUGUUUUAAAUUAAUUA